rnacentral:SRP_RNA from 1 species
GCCGGGCGCGGUGGCGGGUGCCUGUAGUCCCAGCUACACGGGAGGCUGAGGCAGGAGAAUGGCGUGAACCCGGGAGGCGGAGCUUGCAGUGAUCCGAGAUCGUGCCANNNNNNNNNNUAGAUGGAGUCUUGUUCUGUUGCCCAGGCUGGAGUGCAGUGGUGCGAUCUUGGCUCACUGCAAGCUCCACCUCCUGGGUUCACGCCAUUCUCCUGCCUCAG